rfam:Nematostella vectensis strain CH2 x CH6 NEMVEscaffold_350_Cont24649, whole genome shotgun sequence.
ACCAGGAUGGCCGAGUGGUUAAGGCUAUGGACUUAAGUUCCAAUGUACGAAUGUACGCGUGGGUUCGAACCCCACUCCUGGUA